rnacentral:rRNA from 1 species
GACGACGCUGGCGGCGUGCCUAACACAUGCAAGUCGAGCGAAGAAUACAUAAAGAAAUCUUCGGAUGGAAUUAUAUAUUUCUUAGCGGCGGACGGGUGAGUAACGCGUGAGGAACCUGCCUUGUACUAGGGGAUAGCCUCGGGAAACCGGGAUUAAUACCCUAUGACACUUGAAAGUCGCAUGACUUUCAAGUCAAAGCGAUUUAGCGGUACAAGAUGGCCUCGCGUCCCAUUAGCUAGUUGGCGAGGUAAUAGCUCACCAAGGCGACGAUGGGUAGCCGGCCUGAGAGGGUGAACGGCCACACUGGAACUGAGACACGGUCCAGACUCCUACGGGAGGCAGCAGUGGGGAAUAUUGCACAAUGGAGGAAACUCUGAUGCAGCGACGCCGCGUGAGCGAUGAAGGUUUUCGAAUCGUAAAGCUCUGUCCUAAGGGACGAUAAUGACGGUACCUUAGGAGGAAGCCCCGGCUAACUACGUG